GACGAACGCUGGCGGCGUGCUUAACACAUGCAAGUCGAACGGAAAGGCCCUGCUUUUGUGGGGUGCUCGAGUGGCGAACGGGUGAGUAACACGUGAGUAACCUGCCCUUGACUUUGGGAUAACUUCAGGAAACUGGGGCUAAUACCGGAUAGGAGCUCCUGCUGCAUGGUGGGGGUUGGAAAGUUUCGGCGGUUGGGGAUGGACUCGCGGCUUAUCAGCUUGUUGGUGGGGUAGUGGCUUACCAAGGCUUUGACGGGUAGCCGGCCUGAGAGGGUGACCGGCCACAUUGGGACUGGGAUACGGCCCAGACUCCUACGGGAGGCAGCAGUGGGGAAUAUUGCACAAUGGGCGGAAGCCUGAUGCAGCAACGCCGCGUGCGGGAUGACGGCCUUCAGGUUGUAAACCGCUUUCGCCUGUGACGAAGCGUGAGUGACGGUAAUGGGUAAAGAAGCACCGGCUAACUACGUG
rnacentral:rRNA from 1 species